rnacentral:RNase_P_RNA from 1 species
AGAGUUGGUCGAGACAGUCGCUAGCGUGUUUCACGUUAGAGGAAAGUCCGGGCUCCACAGGGCAGAGUGCCAGGUAACACCUGGGAAGCGUGAGCUUAUGGAAAGUGCAACAGAAAGUAUACCGCCCGCUUGCGGGUAAGGGUGAAAGGGUGCGGUAAGAGCGCACCGCGCGGUUGGUAACAAACGUGGCAAGGUAAACCCCGCUUGGAGCAAGACCAAAUAGGAGAGCAGGCGAAAGCAACAUGUGGCCCACAUGGCUCUCGGGUAGGUCGCUAAAGGCGUAUGGUGACAUACGCCGUAGAUGAAUGGCUGUCCACGACAAAACCCGGCUUACUGACUAACUCUCACU